ACCUCUGUUCUUUGUGUAGCACCUGCUUUCCUAUUGCCUUCUAAAAACUAUGUCCACACAUAUGAGACUAAAACUUUCCUCUCUUGGGUGUCUCCUAUGUGGACUGGAGCUUCGGUGUCUGCACAGUUCCACACGAGCCAAGCCCGGCUUGCAGGGUCAAGCUGUCUUUUCAUAGUGGGAAAAAGCUGAUGAAAAUCCUUCACACAGAGGUGUUAAGAGCUUAAUGAUGAACACUCCCACAUGCCUGAAAAGCUCGAGGCCACAUAGCAUGGACAGAAGAGCUGUGGACUGGUGGUGAGGGGUGUGAUUCCAAAUCCCAGGGCUGCUAAACUAUGGUCUACCGACCAUAGUUAUUUUAUCCACAAAAUGAGAAGGGAU